rnacentral:rRNA from 1 species
AUGGCGACCGGCGCACGGGUGAGUAACACGUAUCCAACCUGCCGAUAACUCGGGGAUAGCCUUUCGAAAGAAAGAUUAAUACCCGAUGGUAUAAUCAGACCGCAUGGUUUGAUUAUUAAAGAAUUUCGGUCAUCGAUGGGGAUGCGUUCCAUUAGGUUGUUGGCGGGGUAACGGCCCACCAAGCCUUCGAUGGAUAGGGGUUCUGAGAGGAAGGUCCCCCACAUUGGAACUGAGACACGGUCCAA